GGCUAAACCAUGCACCGAAGCUGCGGCAGCGACACUGUGUGUUGUUGGGUAGGGGAGCGUUCUGUAAGCCUGUGAAGGUGUGUCGUGAGGCAUGCUGGAGGUAUCAGAAGUGCGAAUGCUGACAUAAGUAACGAUAAAGCGGGUGAAAAGCCCGCUCGCCGGAAGACCAAGGGUUCCUGUCCAACGUUAAUCGGGGCAGGGUGAGUCGACCCCUAAGGCGAGGCCGAAAGGCGUAGUCGAUGGGAAACGGGUUAAUAUUCCCGUACUUGGUGUUACUGCGAAGGGGGGACGGAGAAGGCUAUGUUGGCCGGGCGACGGUUGUCCCGGUUUAAGCGUGUAGGUGUGUGUUCCAGGUAAAUCCGGUUCACUUUAACACUGAGGCGUGACGACGAGGCACUACGGUGCUGAAGCAACAAAUGCCCUGCUUCCAGGAAAAGCCUCUAAGCAUCAGGUAACAUCAAAUCGUACCCCAAACCGACACAGGUGGUCAGGUAGAGAAUACCAAGGCGCUUGAGAGAACUCGGGUGAAGGAACUAGGCAAAAUGGUGCCGUAACUUCGGGAGAAGGCACGCUGACACGUAGGUGAAGUGAUUUACUCAUGGAGCUGAAGUCAGUCGAAGAUACCAGCUGGCUGCAACUGUUUAUUAAAAACACAGCACUGUGCAAACACGAAAGUGGACGUAUACGGUGUGACGCCUGCCCGGUGCCGGAAGGUUAAUUGAUGGGGUCAGCGCAAGCGAAGCUCCUGAUCGAAGCCCCGGUAAACGGCGGCCGUAACUAUAACGGUCCUAAGGUAGCGAAAUUCCUUGUCGGGUAAGUUCCGACCUGCACGAAUGGCGUAAUGAUGGCCAGGCUGUCUCCACCCGAGACUCAGUGAAAUUGAACUCGCUGUGAAGAUGCAGUGUACCCGCGGCAAGACGGAAAGACCCCGUGAACCUUUACUAUAGCUUGACACUGAACAUUGAGCCUUGAUGUGUAGGAUAGGUGGGAGGCUUUGAAGUGUGGACGCCAGUCUGCAUGGAGCCGACCUUGAAAUACCACCCUUUAAUGUUUGAUGUUCUAACGUGGACCCGUUACCCGGGUUGCGGACAGUGUCUGGUGGGUAGUUUGACUGGGGCGGUCUCCUCCUAAAGAGUAACGGAGGAGCACGAAGGUUGGCUAAUCCUGGUCGGACAUCAGGAGGUUAGUGCAAUGGCAUAAGCCAGCUUGACUGCGAGCGUGACGGCGCGAGCAGGUGCGAAAGCAGGUCAUAGUGAUCCGGUGGUUCUGAAUGGAAGGGCCAUCGCUCAACGGAUAAAAGGUACUCCGGGGAUAACAGGCUGAUACCGCCCAAGAGUUCAUAUCGACGGCGGUGUUUGGCACCUCGAUGUCGGCUCAUCACAUCCUGGGGCUGAAGUAGGUCCCAAGGGUAUGGCUGUUCGCCAUUUAAAGUGGUACGCGAGCUGGGUUUAGAACGUCGUGAGACAGUUCGGUCCCUAUCUGCCGUGGGCGCUGGAGAACUGAGGGGGGCUGCUCCUAGUACGAGAGGACCGGAGUGGACGCAUCACUGGUGUUCGGGUUGUCAUGCCAAUGGCACUGCCCGGUAGCUAAAUGCGGAAGAGAUAAGUGCUGAAAGCAUCUAAGCACGAAACUUGCCCCGAG
rnacentral:rRNA from 1 species